GCUGAUAUAGCUCAGUCGGUAGAGCGCAUCCUUGGUAAGGAUGAGGUCGCCGGUUCGAAUCCGGCUAUCAGCUCCA
rnacentral:tRNA from 1 species